GGAGCACGCCGGACCGCCGCUGGUGCAUAACCCGGAAGGGCGCAUUGGAGGAAAGUCCGGACUGCAUAGGACGGCGCAGGAGCUAACGGCUCUCCACCGCGAGGUGAGGAUCAGAGCAACAGAGACGAGUCCCGGCGGACGCAAGUUUUCCGGGGGUGAAACGGGCAAUCUCUGCGCGCAGCAAUACCAAGUAGGCCGGCACGGAGUGCGGCGCUUCGGCGCUGGCGCUUCCAUCCCGUGGUCCGCGGGACGCCGGCGGGUAGGUAGCACCGAGCCGCCCGGGUGACCGGCGGCCCAGAUGAAUGGCGGUCACGCUGGCGGCAACGCCAGUGCACAGAAUCCGGCUUACAGGCGGGCUCCACAU
rnacentral:RNase_P_RNA from 1 species